rnacentral:lncRNA from 1 species
UCCCCCUCACCUCACCUCACCUCACCUCACUUCACUUCACCUCACCUCACCUCACCUCACUUCACCUCACCUCACCUCACUCACCUCACCUCACUUCACCGCACCUCACCUCACUUCACUUCACCUCACCCCACCCUCACCUCACCUCAGCUCCUCUGCCCUCCUUUUACCUCACCUCACCUCAGAUCACCUCACUCCACCUCACCUCACACCUCCCCCCUCCCAUCACCUCACCUCACUGCAGCUCCCCUCCCCUCCCCUCCCCUCAGCUCCCCUCACCCCACCUCAACUCACCUCACCUCAUUUCAGUUCUCCUCACUUCACUUCAUCUCAGCACAACCUUACCUCAGAACGCAGUGGCAUGGGGACCCUUGGGGGCCUGACGAGGAGUUGACAGACAGCCUUUGCCCCCUCAGGACACUCCCAUCCUCCGCCAUCCUCCUACAGGUCCCACCUCCCAGCCCCAGUUUCCCUGGCGAUCACCCCUCUGCCCAUGUCCAUCCCAUCAGCGUCAGAGCCAGGUCUCAGGUCCUGCUCUCUGGUCAACACUGAAAUAGCAGGAGAAGAAGGUGGGCACCAACUAACCCUGGGGGCCCUUUCCUGAGAGGCCAGGCCAAGGCAGGCCAAGCCCUGCACACGGAGGCCACGGAGAAUGAGUGAGGUUGGCAAGUUCACAUGCAGGACCCACAGGGCAAGGCCGGGACAGCAGGAGGAGGGGUAACGUAUGCAGCACAGGGCUGGGCCACUUGCAACUGUGUUGGUCCCGGAUGGGUCUGGAAUCUUCAGCAGAAGCAGGAGGGUACCUGCCUGGGUCCACAACGACCACAUCUGCUCCCGACAGCAUCAUCAUCCCUUGGCAACAUGGGAAAACCUGGAACUCCCCAGAGUGGUUGGAAGACCAGUGCCUUGCAAGAUGCGCAUCACUCAGGAGAGCCAGUCCAAAGCGAUGGGUUUGACCCGGAGCCUGAAGACCUGGGACAGUUUGUUAACAGAAGAUCCUCUUGCGCCACCUGCUGCUUUCCUUCUGCCCAGUUUCGCGGGUUCUCUUCCAUUAGCUACACAGCCGUGCUGCACAGGCAGGGCCAAGGCACCACCUUCAACAACGUCCUGCUCCACUCAGCCUGUGUCUCCACUCCACGCAGACUCGUCCUCCAUUGCCAAGCUGUGUACUCAGAUGUGACUGGUCCAACUUGUUUUCACUUCCCAUGA